CAAUUAAUUUGAGGGGAUAAAUUAAUAAAUUAAAAAUAAUAAAAUUAGUUUUAAUAAUUAAAUGGGGGUUUAAGUAUUAAUAAAAAAAUAAUUUAAAAAUUUAUAGUUUAAUAGUAUUGUAAAAUAAAUUUGAAAUAGAUUAAAUAAAAAUUUAAUUAAAAGUAAAUUUAAUUUAUUGUAUCUUGUGUAUCAGAGUUUAUUAAAAAAUGUUUUUAAGUUAAAAAUUUCUCGAAUUAAAAAGAGAUAAUUAAUUAAUAAAGUUAUUGUUGCAUAAAUAUUUUAAAUAAUUAAUUUGAAAUGAAAUGUUAAUCGUUUUUUAAUAUAUCUAGUUUUUUUAGAAAAAAAUUUAAUUUUAUAUUUAUUUAAUAAUAUAAUUAAUUAAUUAAUUAUAUUAAAAUAAAUUUAUAUAAUUUAAGGGAUAAGCUUUAAAUUAAAUUAUUAUAAAAAAAAUUUUUUUUUGAAAUUUUUAAAAUUUAUAUUGUUUAAAAAUUUUUAUUUAUUAUAAAUAAUUUCAAUUUAAAUAAAAUUUUAAUUAAAAUUUAAUUUUUUAUAAAAAAAUAUUUUUUAUUAAUAAAAAAUUAAUUAUAAUGAUAAAAUUAGUAUAAAUAUAAUUAUUAAUAUAAUAUAUAUAUAUGUAUAUAUAUAUAAAUUAAAUUAAAGGAAUUCGGCAAAAUUUUAUAUUCACUUGUUUAUCAAAAACAUGUCUUUUUGGAUAAUAAUUUAAAGUCUGGUCUGCCCACUGAUUUUAUUGAAGGGCUGCAGUAUUUUGACUGUACAAAGGUAGCAUAAUCAUUAGUCUCUUAAUUGGUGACUUGUAUGAAGGAUUUGAUGAAAUAUAAACUGUCUCUAAUUUAAUAUUUAAAAUUUAAUUUUUUAGUAAAAAAGCUAAAAUAAUAUUAAAAGACGAGAAGACCCUAUAGAGUUUUAUAAAUAAUUUAAUUAAUUUUAUUUAUAUAAUAAGAUAAUUGAAAUUAAAUUAUUUAUUUUAUUGGGGUGAUAAAAAAAUAAAGUUAACUUUUUUUCUUUUUUUACAUUAAUAAGUGAAUAAUUGAUCCAAAAUUAUUUUGAUUAUAAGAAAAAAUUACCUUAGGGAUAACAGCGUAAUUUUUUUUUUUAGUUCAAAUAAAAAAAAGAGUUUGCGACCUCGAUGUUGGAUUAAGGUAAAAUUUAAAUGCAAAAGUUUAAAAUUUUGAUCUGUUCGAUCAUUAAAACCUUACAUGAUCUGAGUUCAAACCGGUGUAAGCCAGGUUGGUUUCUAUCUUUAAUAAAAUAAAAUAUUUUAGUACGAAAGGAUUUAAUAUUUAAAUUAAAUUUAAAUUUAAGAAUAUUUAUAAUUAAAUUAUUAUACUAUUUUGGCAGAAAAAUGUAA
rnacentral:rRNA from 1 species